CCUGGUGGUUCAGACGGUAAAGCGUCUGCCUGCAAUGCGGGAGACCCAGGUUCGAUUCCUGGGUCAGGA
rnacentral:tRNA from 1 species